CCCAGAAGCAUCUUUUAAUGCGGUCCUCCCUGUUUUCCAUCUGUGUUGCAUGUUAUUCAUUGGGGUCCUCGUUUCCCUCUGAGAGAAGAAGGUGUCAGUGUUGAACCCGGCGCGUAUCCCCGUGUGGUACGUAAUGCUGCUCCCAGACAGACAGCCCUACAUCCUCAAUGGAGAUGACGCUAGUGCUUGAAGGCGAUGUUUUUCCCGCGGACUGCGUGGCUGGUGAGAUGGUAACGCCGAGGCGGGGAGCAGCUUCACAGCUCACUGCCCUCACCCGAGCAACCGCCUGAGAGCGACGUGCCAAAGCCCGGCGGUAGCCCGGUGCCUGCUGCAUCGCUGCAAACGGUGGGAGCAGCGCGCCCACCCGCUGCGGGGGCUCCUCGGGGACCCACCGCCUGCCAGCUUCCCUCUGCCAUCCUCUGCGGCGGCCUGUCCCCACGUACACGUGUCUGGGAAAGCAUCCUCUGGUUGGGUCCCGAGGCUUCAAAUCUGGCCAGAAAAGAACAACAGGAGCUGGAAGAGGUCAGCGGAUACCCCGGAGGUGGCUGUAGCAGCAUAAAGUCACCAGACCAGGGAUUUGCAGAACAUUUAGUGAAAGAGUUCAAUAAAAGCUGUUUCCCCAUUUGCAGAAGGGCUUAUGUCUCUGGGUGUUUCUGCCUGCAUAACCAGACAGUGACUGGGGGUUUAUAUGUGCUAUAAAUCAGCAGCUCUAAUUCCCCAAGUCUUCUACCUGAGCUGUUUUCUAUCUGGACAGGUAUUACCAAAAUUAGGCCUUUCUGCAUUCAGGCACAGAGGCAGAAAGGGAGCCUACUGCAGGUAUUUGGGUGGCUUACAAGGCCUUGCGAAGUGCAGCU
rnacentral:lncRNA from 1 species